AUUGAACGCUGGCGGCAUGCUUUACACAUGCAAGUCGAGCGGUAACAGGUUAAGCUGACGAGUGGCGAACGGGUGAGUAAUGCAUCGGAACGUGCCCGGUCGUGGGGGAUAACGCAGCGAAAGCUGCGCUAAUACCGCAUACGAUCUGAGGACGAAAGCGGGGGCCCGGAAGGCCUCGCGCGAUCGGAGCGGCCGAUGUCAGAUUAGGUAGUUGGUGAGGUAAAGUCUCACCAAGCCAACGAUCUGUAGCUGGUCUGAGAGGACGACCAGCCACACUGGGACUGAGACACGGCCCAGACUCCUACGGGAGGCAGCAGUGGGGAAUUUUGGACAAUGGGCGAAAGCCUGAUCCAGAAAUGCAGCGUGCAGGAAGAAGGCCUUCGGGUUGUAAACUGCUUUUGUACGGAGCGAAAAGGCUCUCUCUAAUACAGGGGGCUCAUGACGGUACCGUAAGAAUAAGCACCGGCUAACUACGUGCCAGCAGCCGCAGUAA
rnacentral:rRNA from 1 species